rnacentral:rRNA from 1 species
AUUGAACGCUGGCGGCAUGCCUUACACACGCAAGUCGAACGGCAGCACGGGUGCUUGCCCCUGGUGGCGAGUGGCGAACGGGUGAGUAAUACAUCGGAACAUGUCCUGUAGUGGGGGAUAGCCCGGCGAAAGCCGGAUUAAUACCGCAUACGAUCUACGGAUGAAAGCGGGGGACCUUCGGGCCUCGCGCUAUAGGGUUGGCCGAUGGCUGAUUAGCUAGUUGGUGGGGUAAAGGCCUACCAAGGCGACGAUCAGUAGCUGGUCUGAGAGGACGACCAGCCACACUGGGACUGAGACACGGCCCAGACUCCUACGGGAGGCAGCAGUGGGGAAUUUUGGACAAUGGGCGAAAGCCUGAUCCAGCAAUGCCGCGUGUGUGAAGAAGGCCUUCGGGUUGUAAAGCACUUUUGUCCGGAAAGAAAUCCUUGGCCCUAAUACGGUCGGGGGAUGACGGUACCGGAAGAAUAAGCACCGGCUAACUACGUG